CAUGCUAUCAUCAUUAUGUUGCCUGUAAGACCAAACGUGGGGCAUCUGGUUAUCCCUCCAAAAUAAGGCAAUGACCACACGUACAAUGCGGAUCAUUCGUUUUGUCAUCGUACUCAUUCCAUCUUCUGGAUUGCUUAGGAAAGCUGAUUAGUGUUACCUGUGUAACUUCAUUGUCAUGUCAUUGAAUUUAAAUUUUGUUAACAUUUUGUUUCUUGAUUUAGCCAUUUAGAUAAUGACCGAGAAGAUGCGGCCUAUAUGGACAUCAUCUAGGCGGCCAGCAUCAUUCGACUACCCAAUCGGCUUCUACUACCCUGCUCUCAAAAUAGCACGGAGUGUCACCCUUUAGAUAUUUGGCUGUUCGUGAUGUGUGAUGGCGUUUCCUUGGACGAGAUGAUGAUUUUGGCGAGAAAAAUAUUACGAAUGGAUUGUUAUUUUCAAGUUGGAAAACUUGACAACUACAAAUUCCUUUGUAAGAUUUAUCAAGCCAGGUGAAGUCUGCGCUUCUUUGUUGCAGUCUAAUUUGCACAUGGAUUGGUUGCAGUCAUCCAGUGAAAGGUGUGAUUAAAUUGAGCUGUUGCAUGCAGUCUUUGGUGCUGAUGUUGUCCUGGAGUGUGGGAGAGUUCCAUGCUUCAAGUCUUCUGGGAUCAGCCAUAUCUGAGUUGACGCUGGAUCAUGCUGCAUUGUGGUUGCCGAAAGUUGGACAUCUAGUAGAACUGCAAGAAGACUCCUUGAAAUGGUUUAUGUUUAUGUAGCAGUGAUGUUGCUGUCCAGUAUGGCAUGUUGUUGCAGCCUAUACUGGUGAAAGAUUUUUGCAUCGAGUUAUGCUGUUGCUGUUCCUUGGUGCCGGACUGCUGGUGUUGUGCUCAAAAGUUACAUCCAGUUUUAAUUGUUAUUUGUGUCUAUGCAGUCAACCGUUUAUAUAUUGAAAAGGAACAGACAAGUUCCUUGGUGUUGAAUCGCUAGUGUUGUGCUAGUUACAUCCAGUAUUUUGUUUAAUUGCUAUUUGCGUCUAUGAAGUUAACCGUUUAUAUGUUGAGAAUGAAAAAAAUAGUAAUACGGGGAAUUUUUACGUUGAUCAAAUAAUAAACAUGCCUUCGCGAUUGGGAAACCAGCGAGGAGGAGAUUGGGGGUAGGGGUGCAAUUGAUUUUCAUUAACUAGAAGUUGUGGCUUGUUUUAAUAAGGCAAACAUAAAAUCCUUUGUCUAUCACAUCCAUAUACCUACCCAUAUAACAACAUCUAUUCCUCAAACCCCAUAACUUCCACCAACAUCCAUUCCUCAAACCCCCAUUUCCCCACAAAUGUCAAAUAUCUAUAACAUGUAAACGUAAUUGUUAAAUAAAUAAACUAUAUAUGUAAUAUGUAA